AGCAGCAGCCACGGUAAUACGUAGGUGGCAAGCGUUGUCCGGAAUUAUUGGGCGUAAAGGGCUCGCAGGCGGUUUCUUAAGUCUGAUGUGAAAGCCCCCGGCUCAACCGGGGAGGGUCAUUGGAAACUGGGAAACUUGAGUGCAGAAGAGGAGAGUGGAAUUCCACGUGUAGCGGUGAAAUGCGUAGAGAUGUGGAGGAACACCAGUGGCGAAGGCGACUCUCUGGUCUGUAACUGACGCUGAGGAGCGAAAGCGUGGGGAGCGAACAGGAUUAGAUACCCCGGUAGUCCCUGUCUCUUAUAC
rnacentral:rRNA from 1 species